rnacentral:rRNA from 1 species
UACGUAGGUGGCAAGCGUUAUCCGAAAUUAUUGGGCGUAAAGCGUGCGUAGGCGGUUCUCCAAGUCCGUUGUGAAAGCCCCGGGCUCAACCUGGGAAUGGCAGUGGAAACUAGGGGACUGGAAUCUGGCAGAGGGGGAUGGAAUUCCGCGUGUAGCAGUGAAAUGCGUAGAUAUGCGGAGGAACACCGAUGGCGAAGGCAAUCCCCUGGGCCUGCACUGACGCUCAUGCACGAAAGCGUGGGGAGCAAACAGG